rnacentral:lncRNA from 1 species
ACGAAGAUGGAGAUUGGCUUCCACUUGGGCCUGUUGAUGGUGGGCAUGGUGACCACGUGGCGCGUGCCCGCGUCGAAGAUGAAGGCGUCCCCGCAUCGGCCCGUGCAGAGCACCUUGCGAUCUGAAAGCGGCGAGCUGCUGAUGCCGCUGGUUUCGAAGCUCAAGGUCGGGCUGGGAAGCCGAAUCUGCUCCAUCGUUGAGGCCGCCGGUGGCGUGUCCGGUGGCGUGCCGGGCUGGUUUUGCCUGCUUCAACCAGUAAAGCAUUCAGCUUCUGUAAAUUCAUCACGAUUAUAGCUUCGGUAGAAGUAGAGCACAUUGAAUUCGUCAUCACAAUUCACUGUGUUCGUCUUGACAACUUGUUCGAUUCCCGUUUCAGUUAAGCACGCGCAGCUCUAGGCUUCCAUAGAGAUCCAAAAGCGGAGAGCAUCGUGGCUUUUGCGUUGCCCGCUGUCCCUGGAUCGGUGGCUGCCAG